UACAGAGGAGCCAAGCGUUGUCCGGAUUUAUUGGGCGUAAAGAGCGUGUAGGCGGCCGCACAGGUCCGUUGUGAAAACUGGAGGCUUAACCUUCAGACGUCGAUGGAAACCGUGCGGCUAGAGUCCGGAAGAGGAGAAUGGAAUUCCUGGUGUAGCGGUGAAAUGCGCAGAUAUCAGGAAGAACACCUAUGGCGAAGGCAGCACUCUGGGACGGUACUGACGCUGAGACGCGAAAGCGUGGGGAGCGAACAGG
rnacentral:rRNA from 1 species